GCGAUGCUGGUUUAAGGGUAAAAUCCAAGCUUCCCAUGUCCUAUUCAAAGACAGAAAUUGCUUGGGCUCCGGGUUCGAGUCCCGGGCGUCGCA